rnacentral:rRNA from 1 species
CGGUUGAUCCUGCCGGAGGUUACUGCUAUCGGAGUUCGAUUAAGCCAUGCGAGUCUAAAGGUUUCUUCGGAAGCCUUGGCGGACUGCUCAGUAACACGUGGAUAACCUACCCUUGGGACUGGAAUAACCCCGGGAAACUGGGGAUAAUACCGGAUAGAUCAGGGAUGCUGGAAUGCACCUUGAUCCAAAGCUCCGGCGCCCAAGGAUGGGUCUGCGGCCUAUCAGGUUGUAGUGGGUGUAACGUACCUACUAGCCGACGACGGGUACGGGUUGUGAGAGCAAGAGCCCGGAGAUGGAUUCUGAGACACGAAUCCAGGCCCUACGGGGUGCAGCAGGCGCGAAACCUUUACAAUGUGCGAAAGCAUGAUAAGGGAACUCCGAGUGCCAGUAUCUAAUACUGGCUGUCCUUGUGCCUAAACCGCACAAGAUAGCAAGGGCCGGGUAAGACCGGUGCCAGCCGCCGCGGUAACACCGGCGGCCCGAGUGGUAGCCGCUAUUAUUGGGUCUAAAGGGUCCGUAGCCGGUUCGAUAAGUCCUCUGGGAAAUCUGGUUGCUUAACAAUCAGACUGCCAAGGGAUACUGUUGAACUUGAGACCGGGAGAGGUAAGAGGUACUUCAGGGGUAGGAGUGAAAUCUUGUAAUCCCUGGGGGACCAUCUGUGGCGAAGGCGUCUUACCAGAACGGGUCUGACGGUGAGGGACGAAAGCUGGGGGCGCAAACCGGAUUAGAUACCCGGGUAGUCCCAGCCGUAAACGAUGCUCGCUAUGUGUCANGUACGGUGUGACCGUAUCUGNNNNNNUNGGGAAGCCGUGAAGCGAGCCACCUGGGAAGUACGGUCGCAAGACUGAAACUUAAAGGAAUUGGCGGGGGAGCAC